rnacentral:misc_RNA from 1 species
AUAUUUAUAUAUAAAAUAAUGUGGUUUACAUGUUGAUGUCAUCAUGACAAUGGUUUGUGAAUUUUAAUUUGAUAGUUUUUAUGUGUUCAUUUUACGGUAUUUUCUAAUGAUUUCACCAUUCGUCUGUCCAUCUUAUUGUUAUAUUCGUCAAUAAAUAGUCAAACUCUCGUUCUGCGUGAUUAACUUUUAAAUAUCCACAAUCUAAGUCAACUUUAUAAUAUCCUUUGUGUUUAUAAUGGAUAAUGAAGUAGAAUUUAAAACUUCUAAGGUUCAUUCUAUUGAAGCUGUAAAUGAAAUCCAUAAUGGCGUGCAUUAGUCUAUAGUGUGCAGUAAAAUUGAGUUCUUGUUUCCUCUGAAUAAGAGGUAGAAUUUGAAAGGCAACGGUAGAAUAAAUGACGAUAGGAAUGUUCAGAACGCUUUUACUUUAAAAACUAGGCUGUGUAACGGGCGAUAUAACUUUAUUAAUGUCUCUGUAAAUUUGUCUGUUAAAUCUGUUUCAGUCAUAUAACCUAGCUGUGUGGAAUUGAAUAGUCAAUAAAAAUGAAAUG